rnacentral:rRNA from 1 species
UACGAAGGGGGCUAGCGUUGCUCGGAAUUACUGGGCGUAAAGCGCACGUAGGCGGGUUCUUAAGUCGGGGGUGAAAUCCUGGAGCUCAACUCCAGAACUGCCUUCGAUACUGAGAGCCUCGAGUCCGGGAGAGGUGAGUGGAACUGCGAGUGUAGAGGUGAAAUUCGUAGAUAUUCGCAAGAACACCAGUGGCGAAGGCGGCUCACUGGCCCGGUACUGACGCUGAGGUGCGAAAGCGUGGGGAGCAAACAGG